UGUUCAUCACUGUUCACCUCUAAAUGACGGUUUUGCCUUCAUUCUAAAUUGUUUUACGGCUCUGCCAUCGACCUUCUAGACGCUUCCGUCGGUUUCUUCUUUCUUCUUCAGCCGUAUAACUAAGAUUGCUCUCUCAAUUUGGAUCUCCGCUGUGAAUCCGACUCUCAGCUCUCCCAUAUCAAUAUCAUCGACGAACAGGUAAUUCGCGCCUUCAAUUGCUCCAAAAUCUUCCAUCAAUUUUCAGUUUGGACAUAUUUCCAUUUGAACUUUUCAGAAAGUGAUAGAGAUAGAUUGCGAGAGAGAGAGAGAGAGGCGGAGGUUUUCUGUGUCUUUUGGGUCUUCUUACUCUUCUACGCGAGAGAGAGAGGAAGUGAAGGCUAAUUCCAGGGAGAGGAAGAACAGGAAACAGGAAGAGGAAGAAGAAUUUGAUACACCAAGUUCAUGCUGGGAAUAUGUGAGAAUUGGAUUUCAGAAUUUGCUUUUUUUUUUUUCUCUGUUUGAUGAAAGCUCUGUGGGUUUUGAAGAAGAAAGCUUGAAAUUCUUCACUGAUUGGUAAGGUUGGUAAUUCAAUUCCAUUUGUUUCCCAUAAUUGGAAGAGCUGAAGUCAUUUGAUUGGUAAUAUAUGAAAUUAACGGUUGAAGAAGGUAGAUAACUCAGAGAAAAGGAAGAGGGGGACGGGAACAAUCGGUUUUUUUUUUUUUUUUUUUUUUUCAGAAUCACUGCUCUAUCUGUGUUCUAGGUGUUGGUGGCUGUGAUCUUAAUUUCAGAGCCAAUUUGGACUCUAGAGCUUGGAAUAUCAUCUGGGUUUUAUCUAUUUUGAGUGUUUGAGUGUUUAAUUUUGAGAUGGGGUGUAAUGAUCUUCAUAGUCUCUGCAAGCCAGAUCACUGGGACAGUUAGCAAUGAAUUUCUUGACUGCUCUGUUGUGUGCAAUGUUGGGAGCAUAUUUUUAUUAUUUGUUGACUGAUUUUGUUCCUCCCAUGUUUUUUUUUUAAUAUUAUUAUUCUGUUCAAUCUUCUUUUUCUUUAGAACAUACUCAACAUACUAAACAAAUACCCAAGCUAACAGAUGAUGUGCCCUGCGCUUGGGGUCUUCUUAUGUUUCCUGUGAUAUCAAUAAUUCAGAUGCUAAAGUGUUUAAUCCUAGAUACUUAAACCCAAAAAAAGAAUUGAUGAUACUUCUAAUGUGUACAGAACAUUUACAUGACUUUGUAGUCAACUUUGGCCUUCACUUAUUAACAUCUAAAUUUGUUUUGUUGAUGCAGCUUUGGCAUUGGCUGUAUUUGAAGUUUGAUCAUGUGUAGCUCAUAAUUGUUGUAUUGAAUUGUAUAUCCCAGUUUCAACUGUACCAAUGAUAGCACAGUCCUAUACUGUUCAUAAGCACUGUUCAUUUCACUGUUCAUACCAGCAGUGGAAUGGCGGUUUUGCCCUCGAGCUGUAUACUAAAGGCCUGAGUUUUGUAUUGUGUUCUAGAAGCUUUACAUUGACUGCACAGCCAGGUACAAACGCUUCGUUCUAUUUUCGGUUUGGUCUCGGAUACAGACGCAGCAUGAAACGGAGGUAUCAACUGUAUCGAUCAAGCUCUCAGAUAUAAAGGUCGCUGGGGUGGGAAAGAGAAGACGAGAGAUCCUGAUUGUGGUUGACUUCCAGAGGAAGUAAUUAAUGUAGGAAUGGUCUUGGAUUCCAAUUGGGGGGUCAUUACUGAAUACAGAGCAAAAGAAUUUGGCAUUUGGUGCUGCUGCUAGCAUGGUACAUCCAGCCACAGGGUACUCAGUAGUGAGAUCUUUGUCGGAGGCUCCAAAAUAUGCUUCUGUGACUGCAAAGAUUUUGAAGCAAGAUUGUCCUAAGGCCAGUCUUAGCCGUCAAAUAAGAAAUCAGAAUAUCUCAAUGCAAGGCAAAGCCAUGGCCUUUUGCUGAGUGGAAGUUUUAUAGCAUUUUCUUUAUUUCGUAGCGCAUCAAUUUAUGCAGAACAGGCCAAGUAAUUUCAGAUAUGUUCCAAUAAAAGAAAAUGUGCUACCUUUAUUUAACAGAGAGGAAGUGAAGGACCCAAAGCGUGUGUCACCAAGAGCUUCAACUGAGGAACGGUGUGAAGGCAAGGAACAAGCCCUACACUGUUAUGAAAAAAGAAAGUAUUUGUUUGAACAUUUAGAAGCACACUACUAAUACAAGUAAGAGGUGUUAAGAAGCUUCACAUCAAAGGCAUUGACAACUUCCUGAUUGCAAAGAGCAAGAACAACUUGCAAAUGUUGAAUAUGUUGGUUUGAUUAAUUAUGCAGGCAAGACUGCAGUUCGUUAAUCCUUUUUCUCACGCUGAGGAUAACUAAGAAGUUUCCAAAGAGGAGUACAACUUAAAUCAGAAACUGGCAAAGAAAUAUGAAAAUGACAGAGGAUCAAGAAGAAGCCGAUCAAGAUAAGGAGGAAAAGGAUCAUGCCCAUGACUAAUAUGGCAUUAGAAACAUUCAGAGGCAGUAGGCAGUACACCCUCAUUAAAAUUGGGCACUUAUACUCAAAAUAUGUCAUCCAUAUGGAGGAAUGUGUUAAAUGAUUAGAACAUGGAGAAGACUGUAAAAGUACUUGGGCUCUCUCCCUCUGUGAACUAGAGAACUUUAUUUUAUUGCUAUUAGUUGUUGGUUCAGUUAGAAAGCAAUUGAUAAUAGUUAUACAACUUGAAUGAAGUUAUACUACCCGCAGCAAAGUGCGGGAUCUCUAACUAGUGUUUAUCAAAAUAUGGAGAAACCAACAUGUUUUUUAACUUUCAAGUAUUAUAUGAUCUGCAUUCUUCACUUCA